rnacentral:SRP_RNA from 1 species
GCUGGGCGCCGUGGCACAUGCCUGUAGUCCCAGCUACUCGGGAGGCUGAGGUGGAGGAUCUCUUGAGUCCAGGAGUUCUGGGCUGUAGUGCACUAUGCCAAUCAGGUGUCCGCACUAAGUUUGGCAUCAAUAUGGUGAUCUCCUGGGAGCAGGGGACCACCAGGUUGCCUAAGGCGGGGUGAACCAGCCCAGGUCGGAAAAGGAGCAGGUCAAAACUCCCGUGCUGAUCAGUAGUGGGAUUUCGCCUGUGAAUAGCCAUUGCACUCCAGCCUGGGCAACGUGGCGAGACCCCGUCUCU